UCGGAUUGUAGUCUGCAACCCGACUACAUGAAGCUGGAAUCGCUAGUAAUCGCGGAUCAGAAUGCCGCGGUGAAUACGUUCCCGGGUCUUGUACACACCGCCCGUCACACCAUGGGAGUCGGAAAUGCCCGAAGUCUGUGACCCAACCUACGGGAGGGAGUAGCCGAAGGCAGGUCGGAUGACUGGGGUGAAGUCGUAACAAGGUAUC
rnacentral:rRNA from 1 species